GCCAGGUGUGCUGAGCCAUUGAAAGGAGUUUUAUCAGCAGGCAGGGCUGCGAGUCAAACUGGGGAGCCUUAAUUCCCUAAGCAGAGCGAAACCUCCCUGCAGAUAAAAGACUUGCCUGACUCGUUCCAGAGGGAGUUGGUGACACGGCUGCACCCUCGCCCCCUUCUCCCUUAGGAAAAUAUGGCCCUGGGGGCAGAGUGCAGAGGGAUGAUCAAAGGCAAGUGCAGCUUGGCUGCCUGCUGCCAGCAGCAGCAAGGCCAGCCCGUGUUUAGCAGGGAGCAGAGCUGUUGGAGCCUGUUACAGUGGCUCUUUCCAGGCCCGUGAGUAACUGCAUGCAACUGCAAGCCCAUGAAUGUGCACCAGCAGAAAAUUGUGCUAUUAUUAAAUGAUGUACUCACGCUACAGAGAGGCAAACGGUGUCAUUCCACCUCCCUUCUGCUGUUAAAGCACUGUGUGCCAUGUGCUGGGCUACCCUGAGGGUGACUAUGGGCACAUAUCCAUAAGCUGCAUCUGCAGGUGUAUGGGGAGGUUUGGAACAGGAUGAAGCCACAGAGAUCUGAGCAUUAAGCCACUCACUGCUGUGUCAAACAGGCCCUGGCAUUCCUAGCAUGGAAAUUGCUUUCUGAAGUCCAGUAGCUUCUCUGGAAGAAAACGGAGUCAUGUUGGGAAGUGACCAAGAUACUGCCAUUCACUGAGAGCACGUCACGAACCCUGGGAAGAGAAAAUGGGGCCACAACACCAUAUUUCACUUGGGGUAAUGCCAGGAAUAAUAUAAUCUAAAACCUGGACAAAAAUCCAUGUAGAACAAAGCUAAUACAAGCCAUUCAGGUCUGAAAUCUGCCUUUGGUUAUGGCCAUGCUGCUGCACCUGAUGGCAGUGCUGACUGUGCUGGCAGCACUGGGCAGAAUUUGACCCACAGAUUUCCCCACACUAGGCAGCCAUGCUGUAAUUUCGCAGACAUCUUUUAUGAAAAAUCCUUUCCUUAGGAUUUUUCCUCCUGAGAAGCUGAGAGGCCUCAGGAACAAAAUGUAAACAUUGAUUAUCUGCUGCUGUGGAAUGCAACAGGUGCAUCUGUGACUGGCCCAUGUUGGUUGUUUCUAAUGAAUGGCUAAUCACAGUCAGCUGGCUUGGACAGAGGGUCCGAGCCACAAGCCUUUGUUAGGAUUCUUUCUUAUUCUAUUCUUAGCUAGCCUUCUGAGGAAAUCCUUUCUUCUAUUAUUUUAGUAUAGUUUUAAUGUAAUAUGUAUCAUAAAAUAAUAAAUCAGCCUUCUGAAACA
rnacentral:lncRNA from 1 species